UACACACUCCGCCUUCGUUUGCGUGUUCCCGAGACUCGUCACCAUGUUGAAGUGUGUCUCAAAGCAGCAAGGGCUAAGGGGGAGUGGUCGAUUAUGCCCGCGAGAAGCGAGUCUGCAAAGAUGGUGGCUCGCGCGAUUCCACUACCACUUCCAUAUCCCACAGUUCCUAGCGCACAGGAAACAGAAGAGCGCAAAAAAGACACGGAGUACAGUAGUCUGUGGUGCCUUCAAAUGGUCCGGGAGGGUGUUCCAUAGUCGAGGGGUGGCAAAACAGAAGGCCCGAUCACCCGUGGUGCUGAGUUUGGUCCUGGGAAGAGCCUUUGAAGAUUUUUGUUGGGCAUUCCAAUGAAAAGUGCGUUGCAGUAGUCAAGUCUGCAAGACAUAAAGGCAUGAACCAGUUUUUCAGCAUCUGGCAAGUGAUGCCUGGAGACCUCAAUCUAUCAAGAUAUCCAGCACACCCGGCCACAUGUGACGUCGCCACCACCAGUGACGUCCCUGCGUCCAGCUCGCCGUUCUGAUCUUCCAUGUAUGACCCGCUGCCUUACCUCUGGUUGCCUGGCGAUUGGAAGAAGACUUUGGCAUCGGCAUUGGCUUGUCAUCUUCCUUGCUCUCCAGUUAUUUCCCAAAUCUUAUGAUUGGGACAAUGUGACUUGGCCCACCUCUGGCACUUAACCAUCUCUCUAUUUGACUAUCCCUGCCGGCCCCUGGAGGAUGCGAUCCCCCUUUGAGUCUGGUCCCUCCCAAGGUUUCUUCCUUCUUGGGAGUUUUUCCUUGCCACUGUCGCCUAUGGCUUACUCACUGGGGGCUUUGGGUGAGGAUGCUGUAAAGCGUUUGAGACAAUGUAAUGUUGUGAUAAUGCGCUAUAUAAAAAUAAAUUUGUUGUUGUUGUAUUUCAUAAAAUUAAGCCAUGGUUGCAUGAAACUAAGUCAUGAUUUCAUGAUAUGAAGAAGUCUUCAUUUCAAGUAAACAUAUCAUGUUUUCUUGAAGGUAAGUCAUUCUCUUGUGAUUAAGUCAUUAUUUCAUGAAAUUGGGCGAUGGUGUCAUGAAAGUAAGUCAUUAUUUCAUGAUAUUAUGAAGUCUUCAUUUCAAGGAAACAUCAUGUUUGCUUAAUGGUAAGUCAUUCUCUUGUGAUAUUAAGUCAUUAUUUCAUGAAAUUAGGCCAUGUUAUCAUAAAAGUAAGUGAUAAUUUCUUGAUAUUAAGAAGUCUUCAUUUCAAGAAAGUAUGUCAUGUUUUCUUGAUGAUAAGUCAUUCUCUUGUGAUAUCCAU